CCGCCGGCGACCGGCGCACGGGUGAGUAACACGUAUGCAACCUGGCCGUGACAGAUGGAUAACCGGGAGAAAUCCCGCCUAAUACAACAUAAUGCCGGGAGGGGACAUCCCCUGCCGGCCAAAGGGGCGACCCCGGUCACGGAUGGGCAUGCGGCGCAUUAGGUAGUUGGUGGGGCAACGGCCCACCAAGCCGACGAUGCGUAGGGGUUCUGAGAGGAAGGUCCCCCACCAUUGGAACUGAGACACGGUCCAAACUCCUACGGGAGGCAGCAG
rnacentral:rRNA from 1 species